ACUGUGUCCUAGAGGAUUCAUAAGGGUGGAAGACCAGGGUGACUAUCACCCUUCAUCCCCAGCUCAGCUAACUACCAUCCUCACUACCAAGCUAUCUUGAAGUUCUCUUCAUUCAUUUAAAUUCUAUUUUGAGUGGAUUUAGUAUAACUGGAGCUGUAGAUGGAGCAGUAGAUGGCUAAUUAUUCUCCAUGACCAAGAAAUGAUCCUUCUGAGUACUCUACCUAACAUCCCAUAAAUCCUGAGGUUUUCCAGCCUGGCUGUUGGGAACAGCUUGACAACUUUUGGCUGCAGUCUUUUUUUCUUAUUAAUUUCAAGCAAACUGAGAACCUUGAGUUUCAAUUUCCUGUCCAGCCCUGAGAUUCAAAGGUAGCUUUGAGCUGAGACUAUUUGUCCAUGGAUCCUCCACGUAAAGUUACCCCACCUUUUAAUUCUGAUUCAUUGCUGAUUCCACCAAAAGAAAUGUCCCAGAAACUUACAUCAACUUCCCAGUCAUCUUUCUCCAAAGUGCAAAACCUGGAUCGUAUUAGCUUUAGCCCCAGUUUUAAUAGCAACUACCUCACC